UCCAGACUCCUACGGGAGGCAGCAGUGAGGAAUAUUGGUCAAUGGGCGGAAGCCUGAACCAGCCAAGCCGCGUGAGGGAAGAAGGUACAGCGUAUCGUAAACCUCUUUUGUCAGGGAACAAAGGCGGGGACUAGUCCCCGGAUGAGGGUACCUGAAGAAAAAGCAUCGGCUAACUACGUGCCAGCAGCCGCGGUAAUACGUAGGGGGCAAGCGUUAUCCGGAAUUACUGGGUGUAAAGGGAGAGUAGGCGGCAAGGUAAGCGAUAUGUGAAAGCCUUAGGCUUAACCAAAGGAUUGCAUAACGAACUAUCUAGCUAGAGUACAGGAGAGGAAAGCGGAAUUCCUAGUGUAGCGGUGAAAUGCGUAGAUAUUAGGAAGAACACCAGUGGCGAAGGCGGCUUUCUGGACUGAAACUGACGCUGAGGCUCGAAAGCGUGGGGAGCGAACAGGAUUAGAUACCCGGGUAU
rnacentral:rRNA from 1 species